GACGAACGCUGGCGGCGUGCUUAACACAUGCAAGUCGAACGGAAAGGCCCUGCUUUUGUGGGGUGCUCGAGUGGCGAACGGGUGAGUAACACGUGAGUAACCUGCCCUUGACUUUGGGAUAACUUCAGGAAACUGGGGCUAAUACCGGAUAGGAGCUCCUGCUGCAUGGUGGGGGUUGGAACGUUUCGGCGGUUGGGGAUGGACUCGCGGCUUAUCAGCGUGUUGGUGGGGUAGUGGCUUACCAAGGCUUUGACGGGUAGCCGGCCUGAGAGGGUGACCGGCCACAUUGGGACUGAGAUACGGCCAAGACACCUACGGGAGGCAGCAGUGGGGAAGCAUGCACAAUGGGCGGAAGCCUGAUGCAGCAACGCCGCGUGCGGGAUGACGGCCUUCGGGUUGUAAACCGCUUUCGCCUGUGACGAAGCGUGAGUGAAGGAAAUGGGUAAAGAAGCACCGGCUAACUACGU
rnacentral:rRNA from 1 species